rnacentral:rRNA from 1 species
AUGAACGCUGGCGGCGUGCCUCAUACAUUCAAUUCGAGCGAACAGACGAGGAGCUUGCUCCUCUGACGUUAGCGGCGGACGGGUGAGUAACACGUGGAUAACCUACCUAUAAGACUGGGAUAACUUCGGGAAACCGGAGCUAAUACCGGAUAAUAUAUUGAACCGCAUGGUUCAAUAGUGAAAGACGGUUUUGCUGUCACUUAUAGAUGGAUCCGCGCCGCAUUAGCUAGUUGGUAAGGUAACGGCUUACCAAGGCAACGAUGCGUAGCCGACCUGAGAGGGCGAUCGGCCACACUGGAACUGGGACACGGUCCAGACUCCUACGGGAGGCAGCAGUAGGGAAUAUUCCGCAAUGGGCGAAAGCCUGACGGAGCAACGCCGCGUGAGUGAUGAAGGUCUUCGGAUCGUAAAACUCUGUUAUUAGGGAAGAACAAAUGUGUAAGUAACUAUGCACGUCUUGACGGUACCUAAUCAGAAAGCCACGGCUAACUACGUG